AUGAACGCUGGCGGCAUGCCUUACACAUGCAAGUCGAACGGUAGAGGGGCAACCCUCGAGAGUGGCGAACGGGUGAGUAAUGCAUCGGAACGUACCCAGUUGUGGGGGAUAGCUCGGCGAAAGCCGGAUUAAUACCGCAUACGCACUGAGGUGGAAAGCGGGGGACUCGCAAGGGCCUCGCGCAGUUGGAGCGGCCGAUGUCAGAUUAGCUAGUUGGUGGGGUAAAGGCCUACCAAGGCGACGAUCUGUAGCUGGUCUGAGAGGAUGACCAGCCACACUGGGACUGAGACACGGCCCAGACUCCUACGGGAGGCAGCAGUGGGGAAUUUUGGACAAUGGGCGCAAGCCUGAUCCAGCCAUGCCGCGUGCAGGAAGAAGGCCUCGGUU
rnacentral:rRNA from 1 species